rnacentral:rRNA from 1 species
UACGGAGGGGGCUAGCGUUGUUCGGAAUUACUGGGCGUAAAGCGCACGUAGGCGGCUUUGCAAGUCAGAGGUGAAAGCCCGGGGCUCAACCCCGGAAUUGCCUUUGAGACUGCAUCGCUAGAAUUGUGGAGAGGUGAGUGGAAUUCCGAGUGUAGAGGUGAAAUUCGUAGAUAUUCGGAAGAACACCAGUGGCGAAGGCGACUUACUGGACACAUAUUGACGCUGAGGUGCGAAAGCGUGGGGAGCAAACAGG